CUUCACCGACCCGAGCCACAGCGGGCUGUCGUCGGGCCGGUCCUGUCCGUAGGUGGCGAGCAGCGCCUGGGCCUC
rnacentral:antisense_RNA from 2 species